UACGUAGGGUGCAAGCGUUGUCCGGAAUUAUUGGGCGUAAAGCGCUCGUAGGCGGUCUGUCGCGUCGGCUGUGAAAACUCGGGGCUCAACUCCGAGCUUGCAGUCGAUACGGGCAGGCUAGAGUUCGGCAGGGGAGACUGGAAUUCCUGGUGUAGCGGUGAAAUGCGCAGAUAUCAGGAGGAACACCGGUGGCGAAGGCGGGUCUCUGGGCCGAUACUGACGCUGAGGAGCGAAAGCGUGGGGAGCGAACAGG
rnacentral:rRNA from 1 species